UACGAAGGGGGCUAGCGUUGCUCGGAAUUACUGGGCGUAAAGGGCGCGUAGGCGGACAGCUUAGUCAGAGGUGAAAGCCCAGGGCUCAACCUUGGAAUUGCCUUUGAUACUGGCUGUCUUGAGUUCGGGAGAGGUGAGUGGAAUGCCGAGUGUAGAGGUGAAAUUCGUAGAUAUUCGGAAGAACACCAGUGGCGAAGGCGACUCACUGGACAUGUAUUGACGCUGAGGUGCGAAAGCUAGGGGAGCAAACGGG
rnacentral:rRNA from 1 species